CACGUAGGGCGCGAGCGUUGUCCGGAAUUAUUGGGCGUAAGAGCUCGUAGGCGGCCUGUUGCGUCCGCUGUGAAAGCCCGGGCUUAACCCCGGGUCGGCAGUGGAUACGGGCAGGCUAGAGGUAGGUAGGGGAGAAUGGAAUUCCCGGUGUAGCGGUGAAAUGCGCAGAUAUCGGGAGGAACACCGGUGGCGAAGGCGGUUCUCUGGGCAUUACCUGACGCUGAGGCAGCGAAAGUGUGGGGAGCGAACGG
rnacentral:rRNA from 1 species